rnacentral:rRNA from 1 species
UACGGGGGGGGCAAGCGUUGUUCGGAUUCACUGGGCGUAAAGGGUGCGUAGGUGGCAGGGUAAGUCGGAUGUGAAAUCUCCGAGCUCAACUCGGAAAUGGCAUUGGAAACUACCCAGCUCGAGGGUUGGAGGGGGGACUGGAAUACUUGGUGUAGCAGUGAAAUGCGUAGAUAUCAAGUGGAACACCAGUGGCGAAGGCGAGUCCCUGGACAACUCCUGACACUGAGGCACGAAAGCUAGGGGAGCAAACAGG